GAUGAACGCUGGCGGCGUGCCUAAUACAUGCAAGUCGAGCGAACGGACGAGAAGCUUGCUUCUCUGAUGUUAGCGGCGGACGGGUGAGUAACACGUGGAUAACCUACCUAUAAGACUGGGAUCACUUCGGGAAACCGUAGCUAAUACCGGAUAAUAUUUUGAACCGCAUGGUUCAAAAGUGAAAGACGGUCUUGCGGUCACUUAUAGAUGGAUCCGCGCUGCAUUAGCUAGUUGGUAAGGUAACGGCUUACCAAGGCAACGAUGCAUAGCCGACGUGUGAGGGUGAUCGGCGACCCUAGAGCUGAGACAGGGUCCAGACUCCUGCGGGAGGCCGCAGUAGGGAAUCUUCCGCAGUGGGCGAAAGCCUGACGGAGCAACGCCGCGUGAGUGAUGGAGGUCUUCGGAUCGUAAAACUCUGUUAUUAGGGAAGAACAUAUGUGUCAGUAACUGUGCACAUCUUGACGGUACCUAAUCAGAAAGCCACGGCUAACUACGUG
rnacentral:rRNA from 1 species